rnacentral:lncRNA from 1 species
UUGCUGGUUUAUGGCAUUUUGAUGCCUUUUCUUAUAAAUUAAAUAUUCAAACUAUUGCCGAGGAAAAAAAACGUAAUGGUUAAGGUGUUUAUAAAGUUGACACUAGGCAGAAGAAAGAAAUUCAUCUGCUACCUUUUAUACAAUAAACUAUCGCUUUUUGUUACAUUUUCAUUUGUUAUUUUCUUAAUUUUUCUUUUUUUAUUGUUGAUUUUGCAUAUUUUUGCAUAUUUUCAUCGAUAUUAUAUUUUAACUUAAAAGGUGAUUGUUGCAUAAUUGUAAGUAUUGAUGAUUGGUAGGCAAGGGGAUUUAAUAAACUAUCUAGAUACUGUUUUGAUCGAUAUCAUAUUUAAAAUAUGGCUCAUGGAUGAUGAUUGGUGUAUGGUUGUUCUGUGCUUUGAUAUACUAUAUUUAGCUAUAGCAUAAAUAUUUUCCCAAAAAAAAAAAGGUUGAUCCGAGCACUUUUCUCAUUACAGGUAACAUUUUUCCAACACUUCCACAUCGCAGUCGUCCCAGAUUUGAGCAUUACAGGUUAGUAUUGAUGUAGUAGGUUCUGUUGUUUCCCAAAUGAAUAUGGUUUUGUUUGUAUGUUUGUAAUGCUCAUUAAAGCUUUUGUUUGUAUGGUUAUGGUU